UGGGGAAUUUUGGACAAUGGGGGCAACCCUGAUCCAGCCAUGCCGCGUGAGUGAUGAAGGCCUUCGGGUUGUAAAGCUCUUUAGUCCGGAACGAAACGGUCSAAGUGAACAACUUGAGCUAAUGACGGUACCGGAAGAAUAAGCACCGGCUAACUACGUGCCAGCAGCCGCGGUAAUACGUAGGGUGCGAGCGUUAAUCGGAAUUACUGGGCGUAAAGCGUGCGCAGGCGGUUUCGUAAGCCAGACGUGAAAUCCCCGGGCUUAACCUGGGAAUGGCGUUUGAGACUGCGAGGCUUGAGUUYGGCAGAGGGGGGUGGAAUUCCACGUGUAGCAGUGAAAUGCGUAGAUAUGUGGAGGAACACCGAUGGCGAAGGCAGCCCCCUGGGUCGCGACUGACGCUCAUGCACGAAAGCGUGGGGAGCAAACAGGAUUAGAUACCCUGGUAGUCCACGCCCUAAACGAUGUCAACUAGUUGUCGGGGAGGGAGACCUCUUUGGUAACGCAGCUAACGCGCGAAGUUGACCGCCUGGGGAGUACGGUCGCAAGAUUA
rnacentral:rRNA from 1 species